rnacentral:rRNA from 1 species
CCUACGGGAGGCUGCAGUGGGGAAUAUUGGACAAUGGGGGGAACCCUGAUCCAGCUAUGCCGCGUGUGUGAAGAAGGCCCUCGGGUUGUAAAGCACUUUCAGUGAGGAAGAACGCCUGGUGGUUAAUACCCAUCAGGAAAGACAUCACUCACAGAAGAAGCACCGGCUAACUCCGUGCCAGCAGCCGCGGUAAUACGGAGGGUGCGAGCGUUAAUCGGAAUUACUGGGCGUAAAGCGCGCGUAGGUGGCUUGAUAAGCCGGUUGUGAAAGCCCCGGGCUCAACCUGGGAACGGCAUCCGGAACUGUCAAGCUAGAGUGCAGGAGAGGAAGGUAGAAUUCCCGGUGUAGCGGUGAAAUGCGUAGAGAUCGGGAGGAAUACCAGUGGCGAAGGCGGCCUUCUGGACUGACACUGACACUGAGGUGCGAAAGCGUGGGUAGCAAACAGGAUUAGAUACCCCAGUAGUC